rnacentral:tRNA from 1 species
GGGCAUAUAGCUCAGUGGCACAGCAUCUGCCUGGCAAGCCCAAGGUCCUGAGUUUGACUCCUGGUGUUCCCU